GGUGGCUUAGGCUUGGGUAGUUGCAGUGGAGUGGGGAUAGGUGGAGAGAUUCAGGAUGUAUUUUGGAGACAGCCAACAGGGCUUGGUGAUGAACUGGAUGAGGGAAAGAGAUGAUGUUUCUAAUUUCAAGGUUUUUGGUUUGAGCAACUGAGUGGUGCCGUUUGUAGAGCUGGGGAAAACCAGGGCAGGUCAAGUUUGAGGGUGGGUUGGGAACCAAUAAUUCUCUUUUGGACGUUUUCAGAGUGAAAUGUCAGAUGUCGAGGGGGACUUGAUAUAGGAGUCUGGGACUCCAGUGAGAGGUUUGGACCUAAGAAAGACAUUUGGGUGUCCUUAAUAUUCAGUUAAGAGCCCUUGGAUUCUUGGUGACUUGCUCAAAGCUAACACAACUAUAACAGAAACAUGGUAAGAUACCUGCUGUUAUGAACCAUGCGUUGUGUCCCUGCUAAAGGCGUAUGUUGAAAUUCUAACCCAAAACGGGAUGGUAUUAGGAGGUGGGGCCUUUGAUAGGUGAUUAGGUCAUGAAGGUGAAGCCCUCAUGAAUAGGAUUAAUGUCUUAUAAGAAAAGACCUGGAGGGACCGGGCGCGGUGGCUCACCUGGGAGAGCUUUAUAAACC
rnacentral:lncRNA from 10 species